rnacentral:snoRNA from 1 species
UUCAUUUUACUUUUGUGCAUUUUUGUCGUUUCUGUAUCAUUUUCUGUAGUAUGUUUUUCACUAUGGUUGCGUAAUUCGCAGCGAAGUUCGACCGCGAUGACGAUGCGCGGCGUCGGUUCCGGAGCGCGAAGAAGUCGUUGGGCUCGUUGGCAGCUCGCUGGCUUGAUGACCGCCGGAGUCGUGUGCUUCUACACGCUUCCGUUGGAAUUGACGCUUGCAGAGCGGU